GGCCUGUCCACUUUUACUCUUCUGUCUGUCUUCUGGUUCUGUCUGAGUGCCUGUAUAUUGUCUCUGUCUCUGCCAGUUUUCUAUCACAGUAUAUGCACAUGUGUGCUUUAGUUCCUCUGCCUGCUUCUCUCGGUUCUCUCUCGCAUACUGUUGGCCUGUCUACUUUUAAACUUCUGUCCGUCUGUCACUGCCAGUUCUUGUAUUGUUGCGAGAGACUCUGUC